rnacentral:tRNA from 1 species
UGGGGUGUAGCCAAGUCGGUAAGGCACUGGAUUCUGGCUCCAGGAGGCAUAGGUUCGAGCCCUAUCACCCCAGCCA